CCUACGGGGUGCAGCAGUGAGGAAUAUUGGUCAAUGGACGCAAGUCUGAACCAGCCAUGCCGCGUGCAGGAAGACGGCUCUAUGAGUUGUAAACUGCUUUUGUACGAGGGUAAACGCAGAUACGCGUAUCUGUCUGAAAGUAUCGUACGAUUAAGGAUCGGCUAACUCCGUGCCAGCAGCCGCGGUAAUACGGAGAAUUCAAGCGUUAUCCGGGUUUAUUGGGUUUAAAGGGUGAGUAGGCGGUCGGAUAAGUUAGAGGUGAAAGCCCGAGGCUCAACUUCGGAAUUGCCUUUGAUACUGUUCGGCUAGAGAGUAGUUGCGGUAGGAGGAAUGUAUGGUGUAGCGGUGAAAUGCUUAGAGAUCAUACAGAACACCGAUUGCGAAGGCAGCUUACCAAGCUACGUCUGACGUUGAGGCACGAAAGCGUGGGGAGCAAACAGGAUUAGAUACCCCAGUAGUC
rnacentral:rRNA from 1 species